AGCGAAGCGGGAAGAGCUCAAAUUUAUAAUCUGGCACCUUCGGUGUCCGAGUUGUAAUCUCUAGAAAUAUUUUCCGCGUUGGACCGCACACAAGUCUGUUGGAAUACAGCGGCAUAGUGGUGAGACCCCCGUAUAUGGUGCGGACGCCCAGCGCUUUGUGAUACAUUUUCGAAGAGUCGAGUUGUUUGGGAAUGCAGCUCAAAUUGGGUGGUAAAUUCCAUCUAAAGCUAAAUAUUGGCGAGAGACCGAUAGCGAACAAGUACCGUGAGGGAAAGAUGAAAAGCACUUUGGAAAGAGAGUUAACAGUACGUGAAAUUGUUGGAAGGGAAACGCUUGAAGUCAGACUUGCUUGCCGAGCAAUCGGUUUGCAGGCCAGCAUCAGUUUUCCGGGAUGGAUAAUGGUAGAGAGAAGGUAGCAGUUUCGGCUGUGUUAUAGCUCUCUGCUGGAUACAUCUUGGGGGACUGAGGAACGCAGUGUGCCUUUGGCGGGGGUUUCGACCUCUUCACACUU
rnacentral:rRNA from 1 species